UUUUGGGGGGGGAGGUACUCCUU
rnacentral:rRNA from 1 species